CGCUCUUAAGAGCCGAAUCGCGCAUGUAUUUUAGAUGUACGUACGGGGGACGCAUCACAUGGGGUGAAUGCAACGGCUGUCUGCCGCUGGCACUACUGCAGCGAAGCAGGCACCAUGCUAGGGAACCAACCUUCUUCCCGAACCCGACAACUAACCUCGGAGGCUAUGAUCGACAACUGA
rnacentral:sRNA from 2 species